rnacentral:rRNA from 1 species
UACGGAGGGGGCAAGCGUUGUUCGGAAUCAUUGGGCGUAAAGGGCGCGUAGGCGGCCGGCCAAGUCGGGUGUGAAAUCCCUCGGCUCAACCGAGGAACUGCACUCGAUACUGGCUGGCUCGAGUCCGGGAGGGGAUGGUGGAAUUCCCAGUGUAGCGGUGAAAUGCGUAGAUAUUGGGAAGAACACCGGUGGCGAAGGCGGCUCUCUGGACGGUGACUGACGCUGAGACGCGAAAGCGUGGGGAGCAAACAGG